rnacentral:rRNA from 1 species
UGGGGAAUAUUGCGCAAUGGGCGAAAGCCUGACGCAGCGACGCCGCGCGAGGGAUGAAGGUUUUCGGAUCGUAAACCUCUGUCAGAAGGGAAGAAACCGCACUGUGCUAAUCAGCAGUGCCUUGACGGUACCUUCAAAGGAAGCACCGGCUAACUCCGUGCCAGCAGCCGCGGUAAUACGGAGGGUGCAAGCGUUAAUCGGAAUUACUGGGCGUAAAGCGCACGUAGGCUGCUUUGUAAGUCAGGGGUGAAAUCCCACGGCUCAACCGUGGAACUGCCUUUGAUACUGCUUAGCUUGAAUCCGGGAGAGGGUGGCGGAAUUCCAGGUGUAGGAGUGAAAUCCGGAGAUAUCUGGAGGAACAUCAGUGGCGAAGGCGGCCACCUGGACCGGUAUUGACGCUGAGGUGAGAAAGCGUGGGGAGCAAACAGG